GCAUGACUAAAUUCUGCAUUAGCUCUUCUGUAGUUAAAGCAGCCAGACAUCAUGCUAGAGUAUCUUCACUUACUUGAUUGAAGUUGGUACUCUGUCCUGUCAUGGCAACAUUCAAAAGUGGUGAACACAAGU